CUGCAAGUCGAGCGGACAGAUGGGAGCUUGCUCCCUGAUGUUAGCGGCGGACGGGUGAGUAACACGUGGGUAACCUGCCUGUAAGACUGGGAUAACUCCGGGAAACCGGGGCUAAUACCGGAUGGUUGUUUGAACCGCAUGGUUCAGACAUAAAAGGUGGCUUCGGCUACCACUUACAGAUGGACCCGCGGCGCAUUAGCUAGUUGGUGAGGUAACGGCUCACCAAGGCGACGAUGCGUAGCCGACCUGAGAGGGUGAUCGGCCACACUGGGACUGAGACACGGCCCAGACUCCUACGGGAGGCAGCAGUAGGGAAUCUUCCGCAAUGGACGAAAGUCUGACGGAGCAACGCCGCGUGAGUGAUGAAGGUUUUCGGAUCGUAAAGCUCUGUUGUUAGGGAAGAACAAGUGCCGUUCAAAUAGGGCGGCACCUUGACGGUACCUAACCAGAAAGCCACGGCUAACUACGUGCCAGCAGCCGCGGUAAUACGUAGGUGGCAAGCGUUGUCCGGAAUUAUUGGGCGUAAAGGGCUCGCAGGCGGUUUCUUAAGUCUGAUGUGAAAGCCCCCGGCUCAACCGGGGAGGGUCAUUGGAAACUGGGGAACUUGAGUGCAGAAGAGGAGAGUGGAAUUCCACGUGUAGCGGUGAAAUGCGUAGAGAUGUGGAGGAACACCAGUGGCGAAGGCGACUCUCUGGUCUGUAACUGACGCUGAGGAGCGAAAGCGUGGGGAGCGAACAGGAUUAGAUACCCUGGUAGUCCACGCCGUAAACGAUGAGUGCUAAGUGUUAGGGGGUUUCCGCCCCUUAGUGCUGCAGCUAACGCAUUAAGCACUCCGCCUGGGAGUACGGUCGCAAGACUGAAACUCAAAGGAAUUGACGGGGGCCCGCACAAGCGGAGGGAGCAUGUGGUUUAAUUCAAAACCCGAAAAACCUUACCAUGUCUUGACAU
rnacentral:rRNA from 1 species